rnacentral:rRNA from 1 species
AGUGAACGCUGGCGGCAGGCCUAAUACAUGCAAGUCGAACGGCAGCACAGCAGAGCUUGCUCUGUGGGUGGCGAGUGGCGGACGGGUGAGGAAUACAUGGGAAUCUGCCCAGUCGUGGGGGAUAACGUAGGGAAACUUACGCUAAUACCGCAUGCGCCCUUCGGGGGAAAGCCGGGGACCUUCGGGCCUGGCGCGAUUGGAUGAGCCCAUGUCGGAUUAGCUAGUUGGCGGGGUAAAGGCCCACCAAGGCGACGAUCCGUAGCUGGUCUGAGAGGAUGAUCAGCCACACUGGAACUGAGACACGGUCCAGACUCCUACGGGAGGCAGCAGUAGGGAAUAUUGGACAAUGGGCGCAAGCCUGAUCCAGCCAUGCCGCGUGAGUGAAGAAGGCCCUCGGGUUGUAAAGCUCUUUUGUCCGGAAAGAAAGCAUUCGGUUAAUACCCGGGUGUUCUGACGGUACCGGAAGAAUAAGCACCGGCUAACUUCGUGCCAGCAGCCGCGGU